UCUAAUGGAUGAAAAUAGAAAGUGGUUUCUUGAGAUGGAAUCUACUCCUGGUAAGGAUGCUAUGAA
rnacentral:pre_miRNA from 1 species